GCCAUUCUCGUCGGUGCCAUCUCUCCUCCUCGAGUCUUUAUCGCCGUCUGCCCCUCGCCGCGUACUUCCUCUGCUCGUUCCGCCAUUGUCGCAGAUCGUCGCAUCCCCGUCCAGAUAUGCCGUUGCUCGCAUCGCGUCGUUCUUUUCUCAGCGUCGCCUCCUGUGGUAACUUCUCCGGUAACAACAACAACAACAGUCUUCCGGUUAAGCUGAUUUUCUCCUUCAGUCAAGACUUCCGUAGCUCUUGGGAGAUUCCUAUAAAGACCCCAUUACUAGUUUCCGUCUCUUUCACAAAUUCUCUGUUGAACACCCUCAGGCAAGUUCUAACUCUUAAACACUCCUCCUCUUGAUUUAGGUAAUUUGAUUACGCGUCCUGUUAUUGGUGCAGGAGUAUUGGUCCAUUGUUCAUAAGGAACAAUCAGUUUCAUUCAUUGAAGCUCCAAGGUGCAUUUGGAUACUUCUGAUCCCACAAAGCCUGGAGGAACUUGGCUUCCUGGAGCUGUCUUGAAUAUCGCUUAUUGCUGCUUGCAGCCGAGCACACGCCCCUACAAACCAGAUGACAGUUUAGCCAUUGUCUGGAGGGAUGAAGGAUUUGAUGAUACUGAGCUGAAUCAUAUCACACUCAAACAACUUCGACAGCAAGUAACGCUGAUAGCAAAUGCAAUUGAAGCCACGUUCUCAAAGGGAGAUGCAAUUGCAAUUGACAUGCAAAUGACAGCCAGUGCUGUCAUUAUAUAUUUGGUCAUUGUUCUCGCAGGAUGUGUUGUAGUCUCAAUAGCUGAUAGCUUUGCACCAAAAGAAACCGCAACUCGCCUGCACAUAUCUAAGGCAAAGGGUAUAUUCACACAGAAGGAUAAUGUAUCUAAUCAGUGCAAGCAUAUAGUCCACCUUCUCGCAAAUGAGCAAUCUCGGCUUCGAAUUCCAGAUGCAACUGAUCCUGUAAUUCUUUGUUUCUUUCUGAUAUCUCGCCUCCUUGUCUGAUUCAGAUGUUAGGGCAUUCCAGGUAAGGUUUUGAGUUUCUCCAUGGACAUUGUCUUUGUUUUUGCUCGUGGUGGACUUUGUGCUCUGCUUGACCAACAGGCCCAUGCGCGUGCCAUGGAGUCUCUGGUGCAAGCCAAAAUGCGGCACAAGGAGUUUAUUAUAUUGUGCCUUGAAGAUUGUAGUGACUGGAGCAAUGCUACUACAAGGCGUGUUGUGAUGCAGGUUAACUGUGGUACUGCUGUUUUUCUAAAGCCAGAGUUUUACUCCUGUAGUAAAUUGAAUUCGUUGAACUUUGGGGUGGGUUUAACAUACAAAAUCUUCAUUAGCAACCUUGGCAAUAUAACGGCCUACUUCUGCGAUUGCUCUCAACAUGCAGAUUUUGAAAUCCUGACUAUUUAGAAGAUUAUGGGGAAUAACGAUCUAUAAGAAGGAUAGUAUAAGCUUAUAGUACAAUGAUAAUGGGCUACAAUCUAUUUCGGUUGUCUCCUUUUUUCAUUUCUUGUUAUAUUUGAUAAUUACAAUAAUACCAUCUUUUUGUUUUGCUUAAAGCUUUCGCGAGUGAAAUUCCUUUAGAAUUAUCUUUAAAAGAUGGUAUACAAGAUGACCACAUGGUAUCAUUUUUUCAAUUAACUAUAAACUUAUCAACUAAAAGAUAUUCUUAUAAAAUUCUUUAGUGUACUUAUAAAAAUAUUGUUAUCAAACUUUAAAAGUUUUAAAUUGCUAUAGUGAUCAGUGACAUGGCUUUGAUCUUUUAGUUAUUAGGAACAGAGUUCUCUAUUGAAACCUGCUUCCUUGUGAAAUUUUUGAGUUUUGAACAUGUUUUGAGACUUGAAUUGAAUUGGUUUAAUUGAGUUUCAUUCAUUUUUCAUUUUUUUUUUCUUGU